CUAAGAAUCUUCGGCAAUGGCCUAACGGCUGACCGAGCGACGCCGCGUGGACGAAGAAGGCCGCAAGGUUGUAAAGUCCUUUUCUUGACGAAGAAUAAGGCAGGGAGUGGAAUGCUCUGCUGAUGACGUUAGUCGAGGAAGAAGCCCCGGCCAAUUACGUGCCAGCAGCCGCGGUAACACGUAUGGGGCGAGCGUUGUUCGGAAUUACUGGGCGUAAAGGGCGUGUAGGCGGUUCAGCAAGCCUGGUGUGAAAGUCUUCGGCCCAACCGGGGGAUUGCACUGGGAACUGCUGGGCUUGAGUUCUGGAGGGGGAGCUGGAAUUCCUGGUGUAGGGGUGAAAUCUGUAGAGAUCAGGAAGAACACCGGUGGCGAAGGCGGGCUCCUGGCCAGACACUGACGCUGAGGCGCGAAAGCGUGGGGAGCGAACAGGAUUAGAUACCCUGGUAGUCCACGCUGUAAACGAUGUGCACUAGGUGUUGGGGCGUUUGAAGCCUCGGUGCCGUAGCUAACGUGAUAAGUGCACCGCCUGGGGAGUAUGCUCGCAAGGGUG
rnacentral:rRNA from 1 species